rnacentral:rRNA from 1 species
CCAAUUGGGGGUCCUAUUCAUGCAGUCGACGAACUCUGGUAUUGAUUGGUGCUUGCAUCAUGAUUUACAUUUGAGUGAGUGGCGAACUGGUGAGUAACACGUGGGAAACCUGCCCAGAAGCGGGGGAUAACACCUGGAAACAGAUGCUAAUACCGCAUAACAACUUGGACCGCAUGGUCCGAGUUUGAAAGAUGGCUUCGGCUAUCACUUCUGGAUGGUCCCGCGGCGUAUUAGCUAGAUGGUGAGGUAACGGCUCACCAUGGCAAUGAUACGUAGCCGACCUGAGAGGGUAAUCGGCCACAUUGGGACUGAGACACGGCCCAAACUCCUACGGGAGGCAGCAGUAGGGAAUCUUCCACAAUGGACGAAAGUCUGAUGGAGCAACGCCGCGUGAGUGAAGAAGGGUUUCGGCUCGUAAAACUCUGUUGUUAAAGAAGAACAUAUCUGAGAGUAACUGUUCAGGUAUUGACGGUAUUUAACCAGAAAGCCACGGCUAACUACGUGCCAGCAGCCGCGGUAAUACGUAGGUGGCAAGCGUUGUCCGGAUUUAUUGGGCGUAAAGCGAGCGCAGGCGGUUUUUUAAGUCUGAUGUGAAAGCCUUCGGCUCAACCGAAGAAGUGCAUCGGAAACUGGGAAACUUGAGUGCAGAAGAGGACAGUGGAACUCCAUGUGUAGCGGUGAAAUGCGUAGAUAUAUGGAAGAACACCAGUGGCGAAGGCGGCUGUCUGGUCUGUAACUGACGCUGAGGCUCGAAAGUAUGGGUAGCAAACAGGAUUAGAUACCCUGGUAGUCCAUACCGUAAACGAUGAAUGCUAAGUGUUGGAGGGUUUCCGCCCUUCAGUGCUGCAGCUAACGCAUUAAGCAUUCCGCCUGGGGAGUACGGCCGCAAGGCUGAAACUCAAAGGAAUUGACGGGGGCCCGCACAAGCGGUGGAGCAUGUGGUUUAAUUCGAAGCUACGCGAAGAACCUUACCAGGUCUUGACAUACUAUGCAAAUCUAAGAGAUUAGACGUUUCCCUUCGGGGACAUGGGAUACAGGGUGGUGCAUGGAUUGUCGUCAGCUCGUGUCGUGAGAUGUUGGGUUAAGUCCCGCAAACGAGCGCACCCUUAUUUAUCAGUUGCCAGCAAUUAAGAGGGGCACUCUGGCGAGACUGCGGAUGACCAAUGGAGAUGGGGGGGAUGACGGUUCGAAAUUUCAAU